UGGAUAAGAAGAUUUCUGCCUAAGGAGAAGAAUUUACCCCAAGUUAGUAGCUCUUGCUGGUGUCUCAUAGUUCUGCUGCUGUGGCUGGCUUAGUUGGAGAUGAACGGUUGCAUGCAAGUCCUCUCCAAUUCCAAAACCAUGUGGAGUAACUGAGUUUUUGUUUGCUCCAUUUGCAUCCCUUGAUCCAUAAACCUAAUACCCAAAAUUUUUUAUGGUUAGGUUUAACUAGAUUUAACUCUCAAAGUCUACCUUAAAAGAAGCUACAAAAAUCAAGUAGUAAGCAUAUAAGCUGUCCUGCUGAUACUUGGAGUAGUCAAAACCAAUACCUUCUUAUGUAGUUCCAUGUUUUCUUGACAAAUUUGGUUUACCUUCUUGUACAGUUCCAUAUUUUCUUGAUGGACGAGGUUCCCCUGCAAUAAAACUCAAUGUGGUUAGCUAAUGGUCUUGAAAUUGCUAUUGAAACCAUGAAAAUAUGAUAGAAGAAUUAGCAGUUGCUUUUGGAAA